rnacentral:piRNA from 1 species
UGUUUGUAAUUUCUUGAGAAA